AAGUAUUUUCAUUGUUUCAUUCCAACCUUGUGAGGGUAAUCAAAUUAAAUAGCGGUGCUUCAGUUGUUGGUCUGAUAGUCCGAUUUAUGUUUCUGUUGAAUUGGUCACUCAACUGUUAUAUGUAUUGCUUGUCUACUAAACUCUCAGAUCAUGUUCAUCAAAUAGACUGAACUAUGAAGAGCUUAUAGCCUUAUAGCACUAAAUGAAAAUGAAAGGAAGUUUAUCGGAAAAAUGGGCACAUCCAAUGUUGCACCGUUUUAAGUUAUUAAAAAGUAAAUUUUGUCGGGUCCCAGAAAACCCAUAAUUUGGAUAUAACUGUUAAUUCUCUGAUGCAAUUUGUUCAAGUUUUCAAUGGGUAAUGUGGUGUUAUUUGGUUAUUUUAAGUGAGAAUCUUUGUUCAUUCUGAUUACAGGCUGUUCUGCCCUGGCCUUUGCUGGGCAAUUUUGCAGUGAACUAUGAUGUUUGCCUUAUGACAAGGAUACAGAAGAUGUCACUGGACUAUCAUUUCAAAGUAGAGCAGGAAUCAGGCUCAUCUAUGCAUUCAUUCUUUGGCUUCAACGGUACUGCUGCUGUGUGGCGGGUAUCAGCUACUAUUAACGAAGCAGGAGGUUGGAAGGAUCACACAACUGUGGAAGACAUGGACUUGGCUGUACGCCUGUACGGGCAAGCCUCAAGGGAUGGCAAUUCCUGUAUGUUGGUGAUAUAAGGGUUAAGAGUGAACUCCCAAGUACCUUCAAAGCCUACCGACAUCGGCAGCAUAGAUGGACUUGUGGUACUGCCAACCUCUUCAGAAAAAUGCAACGGAAAUUGCCAAAAACAAGGCUAGCCUUCUUCAAUAUGACAGAAUGGAACAUGUUACAGGAUUGUCAUGCAAUAAGUUUCUUUACCCGAUUAUAUGUGAUUCAGGGCGUAUCUGUAUGGAAAAAACUUCAUCUACUCUACAGCUUUUUCUUCGUAAGGAGGGUCGUCGCUCCCAUCCUGACCUUCCUGUUCUACCGUGUUGUGAUUCCGCUGUCUGUCAUGGUCCCUGAAAUCAGCAUUCCUGUCUGGGGGAUGGUCUGCAUUCCCACUGCCAUUACCAUCAUGAACGCCAUCAGAAAUCCUGGGUCUCUCCAUCUGAUGCCUUUUUAGAUUCUAUUUGAGAAUGUCAUGGCCAUGCACCGAAUGCGUGCAGCUCUAACAGGCUUGCUCGAGACCAUGAAUGUCAAUCAGUGGGUGGUUACUGAGAAGGUUGGUGAUCAUGUAAAGGACAAGCUUGAAGUCCCUCUUCUUGAACCAUUGAAGCCAACAGACUGCGUCGAGAGGAUUUACAUUCCUGAGCUCGUGGUCGCGUUCUACCUCCUGGUAUGCGCGUCUCACGAUUUGGUGCUUGGAGCCAAGCACUACUACCUGUACAUCUACCCUGGAAUUUUUACAAUUUGGUCCUUUUAAAAAACUUAUUUCGUAAAUAGACCACUGAAAAAACUUAUCCCAGAAAUGGUCCUUUUUGAAGCGCCAAAGUGGCUGGCGCUGUCACCGUGGCGGGGGCGGCGCUGAGGUGGCAUGGGGAGCACGCUAGAGUGGCUGGAUCCGCACGCCGUGGUCCUUCCCACUCGUACCUGGUUGCUUCAGAAGACAGAGGCCGCCGGAUCCGCGCGCCUCUGUCGCUCCCGAGGACGGGGGGCGGUGGAUUUGUGCGCCGCCAUCCUUGCCCCUACACUUUACCCUUUCCGACAGCAUGGGGGUAUGGAGGUGGAGCGGUGGUGACACAAGGAUGUGCAACGGAGAGUGGGGGGAGGACGGACGACAUCGGCGGCGGUGGGUGGAGGGCGGAUGGCAGCGGGGGAGCACGGGCGCGAGUGGAGUGGCGGCCGCAUGGGCUAGGGUUUGGGGUAGAUGUGGUUGUUUUUUCGAAACAGUCCCUUCCUUUUUUAUGUUUACAACGCUAUCCCUAGAAGUGGAAUUUUCUCUUCUUCGUAUUGUAUUUCUGUGAAAUAGGAGGGCUUUUCCGGAAGAAACGCAACGGGUGUUAACCGGUCCAAGGACGUAUGAGAUAUUUCAUACAAAUAUGUGUUGUUUUUUUUUUGCAAAAUUGCCUAUUAAUGAAAACCGGUUCCACCCCGCAGUGGAGACCGGCACGCAUGCA